CAGUGGCUGAGGGGGGGGGAGGAGUCACGAGGAGAUCGGCCCGGCCGCGCCUCUUGUCGGGCUCAGGGCCUUCGCCUUGGGCGCAACCCGCACGCACCUCGGCCUGCCCUGUGCGCGCCGGGCUGCUCCCCGCUCCCCGCCUCCUUCCAGGCUCCAAGAGUACCGCAGGGAAGAUGCUUCUGGGCGUCUGGGAUGGUGACAUGAGGACAAGUGGCCAAAGGUCCUUGGGAUCUUGAGGGCCCAGAAGUGUUGAUUCCAUGUCACCCUCAGAGCACUGACCUGCCAACACUCCUGCCAGGUACACCAGCCCCACUCGGAGGCCUUUGUGGACCAUUUCCAAGGGGAUACCCAGAACGAGCUGCAUAAAAAGAUUUCCCACGAUAUGCUGGACUCUGCAGAGACAAACACGGAUCAGAUAUCCAAGCAGCAAGAGGCUGUCAUGGGAGACUUGCAUGUGAUAUUUCUAGCAGAGUCUGGCUAUGUGGCUGGCUGGCCUGAAAUUUAAUGUGUGGGCCAUAUUGGCCUCAGACUCAUCAUGAUCUUCUUGCCCUGGCUCCCAAGUACAACAGGCAUGAACCACCUUGUCCGGCCUAACAAUUACUUAUGAUCUCUUCUGAUACCAUUGACUUGGCCAUCGUUCCUUACCCAGCAUGGACCAGCAUGUAUGAGAUAAACCUCCAGGCUUCCUCCCUCUUGUCAGGUCGCCCAGAAACCCGAAAUGAUGAAGGCCAGUGCCCCCGGGAUGUCACGUGAUAGCCUCUGCUCAUGCUGUGAUGGGAAGGCACUUUACCUCUGUGCCAUUCUUCCUUCACUCUCCCAACUCUAGUCUAACCCUGAGAAAAACCUCGGACAACCCCAGGCGAGGACACUCUGCAAGCUUCCGGUCUGAACUGCUGUGCACCCCUCGGCAGGCGGCUUUUACCUCAGCCAGGCUGAUGAAGAUGAUGAAGAGCGGCGGGGGGAGGCAGUUGGCUCUCUCCAGGUGCAGGGAUUAUGGGCACAUGCCACCACAGCUGGCUGAAAGGCCCCUUCAGAUGAGAAACAGAUUUUCAGAGGCCUAAUGAAACACAGCCUGGCCCUCAAGGCAAAGCAGGUGGCGAUGAUCUCAGCCCGCUGCAGUCUCUCUGAGGGUGACCUGGAAAUCCUGUCCUCUACCUCUCAAGUGUUGCCUUGCCCAAGCUGGUCCUGACCACUCUACGUAAGCAGAAGUGGCCUUGAAUAUCUGCUCCACUUCCCAAGUGCUGCAAUUAAAGACACAAGCCACCAGUGUAUGAUGCUGAAUCAAACUCUGGGACCCUGCAUGUUACUCAAGCACUCCACCAACUAAAAUAUGUCCCUAGACAUUAGGGGUCUUUUCUACUGCCCAGACAAAAAGCAAAGCUCAUAAUCACUGAGAUCACAGAAAAUAGAUAAUACAGAAAAGUUUAUCAGACAAAACCAGCCUUUCAACUCACAUUCAUUCACACCAGCUCAAGCUACAGGCAGUGGCCAAUAAAAUACCAGAGUGUACGUGUUCAGUCUUUCAAAGCCAAGGACUUCCAGUAAAUUCCUUUGAUAACACUGGUCAAUUGUCCCCUUUCUUGGGGAAUUCCAAAUCUCUUCUUAAUGGGCAGCAGGGACCAGCUCCUAUUAGAGAAGCCAAACAUGCCUGAUGCUUUCAUUUCCCUUGCUGUAGGCAGCUAGGGUUGACAUGUGGCCUAAGUUUGGGCAGCCAACUGCAUUUGCUUCUAUCUAAAACAACAAAACCAAAACAAACUAAAAACCAAUGCCGUUUAACUCUAACUGGCCUGAAACUUGCUACAGAGACCAGGUUGGCUUUGAUCUCACAGGGAUCUGCCUGCCUCUGCCCCUCAAGUGUUGAGAUCAAAGUCAUGUACAACCAUGCCUGUGGUGGAGUGAGGCUUGAGGAAUUAUGGCCUGGUCUCACUUCCGGUCCACUGUCCACUUCUGACUGAGGAAUUGACCAGAUGCCUCACAAUCCUAAGGCCAUGGCUUCCCAUCCAUGAAAGAUUGUAUCCUUUUUAAAACUAUAAGCCAAAAUAAGCCCACUCCCCAUAAAAAAAAAAAAGUUAAAAAAAAAAAAAGGAAUGAUGUAAGGAAAAGAAGAAAGAAUAGGUAAGGAAAGGAGGAAUAUUACUGUUACUUUUAUAAAACUGUGUUUCUCAGUUUCUCCCUUAACCUGGCUAUCAUACAAAUAAUUGAGAUGCUAUUAUAUUUUUUAAUAAUAAGCUUCACAACACAAUAACUGAGCAGUUAGUACCUUACUUUUAAUCCUUUAAACUAAUUUGGUUUCCUCCCAACACACUUGUUCUUUGUAGCUUUUCUGCUUUGGCUCCUUCUGCUGGUGUCUCUUGGACCUCUCCCAUGGCUGAGUCCCCUUCUUCCUCCUUGAACUCCUCCCCUGGCUGGCAGAAAGUCCAGCCCUAUUCUCUCCCCUGCUCAGCGAUUGGCUGUAAGCUGCUUUAUUGGCAUAUUGGGGGACAAUGGGGAACAAUGUUCACACAACAUUGAGACAGAAUAUUCUCAGAAAAAGGAUUGCAACACGAUAUGGAGGGUUACAGAAAUUAGCCUUUAAUUACACAAUAACCUCAUGCUGAUAAAGGGAUAGGCUGCAUCCACACAUUGCCUAGCCUUUCUAUGACUAUGUUGAUAUCCUGUGCACACACACAUACACAGACCAGCAGUGUUCUGACUCACAGAGUUGUCAGCCGAGAUUUAUAGAUCCACCUUGCUGUGACUGCUGCCAAAGGGCCUAGGAGAGCACUGCUCCAAGCUUCCAUGUUUAAUUUUAAUGGGUCUUGGUUUCGUGAGCUUUGAGCAUUCUAGUUUGUUUGUUUGUUUGGGGACUCUGUGUGUGUGUGUGUGUGUGUGUGUGUGUGUGUGUGUGUGUGAGAGAGGCAGAGAGAGAAUGUGUGUGAGUGAGUGUAAUGUAUGAACAUGUAGAGGCUAGAGGUCAAUUUAUAGUGUCUUUUAUGGCUAUCAUUAUUUAUUUGUUUGUUUGUUUUGUUUUGUUUUGAGACAGGGUUUCUCUGUGUAGCCUUGGCUGUCCUAGACUCUCUUUGUAGACCAGGCUGGCCUUGAAUGCAGAGACCCACCUGCCUCUGCCUCCCUGAGUGCUGGGAUUAGAAGCAUGCACCACCGUGCCCAGCCUAUUAUUAUUAUUAUUAUUAUUAUUAUUAUUAUUAAUAGAGUCUCCCACUGAGCCUUCAGCUCACUGACUCAGCAAGACUGGCUGGCCAGUCAGCUCCAGGGAUCCCCCUGUCUCUGUCUCCCUAGCACUGGGAUUAUAGAUAUGCUUUUUACAUGACUUCUGGGGAUCCAAACUCAAGUCUUCGUGAUUGUUCAACAACUGCUUUGCUAAUUGGGCUAUCUCCCCAGCUCCUUCCUUGUUUUGUUUUGUGUUUUUGAGAUGGGAAUAGCUGAGACUGACCUUGAACUCACAGUGACCUUCCUAACUCAGCCUCCAAAUACUGGGAUUACAAGCAGGAACUACCAUGCUCAAUCUGUGAGCAUUCUUGUAAAGUAGGGCAGUCACACCCAUCUCGUGGAUAAAGAAACUCAGUCUCUCAGGGCAAUUUUAUCAAGGUUGGAUACCCAGUAAGGCUAGGAACCUCUGACCCCAAGACUCUGGAUCUUUCCCUUCCUCCAUAUUUUCUUUUCUUUUUCUUUUAAGUUUAUCUUAUACAUGUGGGUGUUCUGCCUGCACGUAUGUCUGUGUGCUACAAGCAUGCCUAGUGACUGUAGCACAGAUCUUCCGGAAGUGGAGUUGCAGAUGGUUGUAAGCCACCCUGUGAGUGCUGGGAACUGAACCCAGGUGCCCAAGAAGAGCAGCCAGUGCUGUCAGCCACUAAGCCACCUCUCCAGCCCCGUCCUCCAUGUUUUCUAAGCACGACCCCUUAUGCAAGGGCACAUCUUCAUGCUCUCACACAUAUAUCCCACCUUGUAUCCUCCCUCCAGCUGCCCAGACAGACCUAGACCAAGCUCAGGGAAUUUGAAAUGGAAGCCAAUCUUCAGGUGUCCACUCCAGGGUAAGGUUAGGGCUGGAAAUGUCCAUCACCGCCGUUGCUGCCACACGGACCCCAACUGGACACAAGUGCCCACACAAGAACAGGAUUCUCCCCCCGCCUCUCAGAACCGGAAAGACCAGGUCAGGCUCACCUUCUCUUCUCUACCUAGCUCAGGAGGGACGCUGGGAUAACACCCUUUGGACAGCUCUUCUUUGACGGAAGACACUUUGGUCAUUCGCUUAUGUUCUUUCCUAACUGCAGCGAAACAAGUAGGUUUCGAAUAGCUGAAUUGGUUUUCACUCUGCUGGCCCCACCCAUUCAUCAGUACCAGGCGAGUCCCUCCCGGGGCUGAGUCCAGCCUUGAUGUGGCCAGGGAGCCAAGCAGUCUGUGCUGGGUGCACCCACUUGCUGCCCAGCUGGGCCUAGUGGGAGGCUUUUGGUGGCGUUGCUAGGCAACCUGGGUAAUUGCUGAGGCCAGGGAUUGGGCUUCUGAGCCACAUAGAUUAACAGGCUCCUUCAUCACACUGCAAGCCAUCAUUAUGCCUUGGUCCAGAGCCCGCAGCGAUCUCUCUGUGGUCGUGGCCUGAAAGGAUGCUUUUUUAGCUACAGAAAUUAAGCACUGGGUCUUCAGUAUUAUAGGUUUGUGGCCGUGGCUGUUUUCUCUCAGCUCUAUCUGUGAGCACACAACUUGAAAUAAAUAGGCAAAGAAUUUAAAAACAGAAAUGCCUUCACAAACCCCAACUCUACAAGUUUUCCUUCUGGAGGCAAAGCCCACGGCUCCCUCCCCUCACCCCGCAGAGAGGGCAACUAAGGUAGGGAGCUGUUCCUCCAGGCCUCUCCAUGGCUCACUGUGCACUCACAGCGCCUUCCUUGAACCUCACUGCUCUGGCCUGGCUGUGGUUCAGGGUUGGGGAACCAGAGCUUGGGUGGCAUGCACAAUAGUAUGUUCAUAUUACUUCCAAAGACUAAGAUAAUCCCCCCCUCACCCCGUCUUCAGAGUCCCUCCUACUCCUGUCAUUUGGGAGAUACUCCAUCCACCCUGUGCUGAAGACAUUGUUCCCCGUCUACAGACAAAGCAAAGGGAGCAGCAAAGCUUGUGUUCUAGUGAUAGCAAAGCCAGUUCCCUGGGGCCCAGAGCUACAUCCCAUUGCCCCUCCCAGGGCUACUUAACACAUCGCUUGGGCUGGGCGCAUCCACCCCAGUAAAUAGUAAUAAUAGCGAUAAUAACAUACAUAUGUUGCUGAACUGCGCAUGGCUGAUACGCACUGUCAUCCCAGCACCCGGGAGACACAAGCGGGAGAGUCCAGGGAAUUUCAAAGCCAGACAGACCACAUAGUGCAUUCCAGGUCAGCCCGGACUGCCCAGGGACCCUGUCUCAGAAAAAGAGGUGAGCAGAGGGAGGGGCUGUGGAGAUGGCUCAGCAGUUAGAAGGACUGGCUGCUCUCACAGAAGAUCUGAGUUUGGUUGCUGGCGCCCAUGAUGUGCUCAUAACUGCCUAUAACUCCUGUUUCAAUGUACUCCUGCACACGUGUUUUAUGUGCAUACGCUCAGGUGCUCAUAUAGACACAUAAAAUAAAAAUAAAUGAUUUUUAGAUUAAUUUAUUUUAUGUGUAUGAGUGCUUUGGCUGCACAUGAAUGCCAGGUACUCACAUGGGUGAAAUGAGGCCACCAGAGCCCCUGGAACUAAAGUUACAGGUGGCUGUAAGCCACCAUGUGGGUGCUGGGAAACAACCCUGGGUCCUCAGAGAGCAACGAGUGUCCUCAACCACUGAGCUCCUGAAUGUUCUUAGAAGUACCCACUGUUAGAGAGGACGCAGGACUCCUUCCUUGUUCAUCGUGGCUGAGCUUUCAAAGCUGUCUCAUGGACACUGAGAAAGAUAGCCCAGAAAGUUGCCCGGAAGCAGAUAACAUUACUCAAGUGAUUCGACCAAGCUGGCAUUCCAGAGCACAGGACUAAAGAAACCCUGACACCACUUCAAGACUUUAAGAGGGCAAAAGCAUUGCUUUUGUUAGAAAUCUACAGCCAGAUGGCACACGCCUUUUAAUCCCAGCACUUGGGAGGCAGAGGCAGGUGAAUCUCUGUGAGUUCAAUUCGAGCCUGGUCUACAGAAUGUUCUAAGACAGCCAGGGCUACACAGAAAAAACAAAACAAAACAAAACAAAACAAAACAAAAAAAAAAACUUGUCUUGAAAAAAUUAAAUAAAGAAAAAAGAAAGAAAGAAAAGAAAUCUUAAGUGUUCUUCCAACCAAUUUCCACUUCUGUGUAUGUAUGUGCACUCAAGUAUGUGCUGGUUUGAUUGCACAUGUGUUCGUGUAUGGAGACCAGAGCUCAGACUCAGGUGCCUCUCUCCAGGAACUGUGUCCUCCUUGCUUUGUUUUUUGAGUUAAGCUCUCUCACUGGAGUCCCCGGGGUGCUUGGUGGUAGAUGAGGCCAGCUAGCCCCAGGGAUCCUCCUGUCUGUCUCCUCAGGGACAGAAUUUCUCUCCAGGCCCUUCCUCCUCUCCACCCCCUUUUCUAAAAACAGGAUCUCAUUUAGCCCAGGCUACCCUCUAUUUAGCCAAAGAUGACCUUGAACUCUGAUCCUCCCACCUUCACUUCCCACGUGCUGAGAUUACAGGCGUGUAUCACCACACCCUACUGAGAUGUCAUUCAUUGCGUUAUCUAAUUUUUUAUUUAUUUAUUUUUAACUCUUUUGGUUUUUUUUUUUAGACAGGAUUUCUCUCUGUGUAGCCCUGGCUGUCCUGGACUCACUUUGUAGACCAAGCUGGCCUGGAACUCACAGCGAUCCACCUGCCUCUGCCUCCCAGAGUGCUGGGUCUCUCUAGAUAGCCCUGGCUGGCCUGGACCUCAUGGUGUAGACUAGACUAGCUGCAAACUCACAGAGACACUUGGGGUGCUGGGAUUAAAGUUGGUCACUAUCACACCCAGCUUCUUUUUUUUUAACAACCCAGGUCCUCUGGGAGAGCAGUCGGCUCUCUUAACCUCUGAGCCAUCUCUCCAGCCUCUAAAGAUUUUUUUAAAAUUUUAACCACGUGGGCAGGGGCAGAUACGUGCACAUGAGUGUCUGAGGAAGACCAGGUGCACGGAAUUGCCUACAGCCGGAACUGCAGAAGAUUGUGAGGUUCCCCGUGCUGUUUCCGGGAAUUGAACCUGGGUGUUCUUCAUCACCGAGCCCCUGAGCAUGAGAGUUUUAAAUGGUAUCCAAGACAGAAAGAAAGAAAACUAUAAUAGGCCUUAGACCUUAUUAAGUAGGCCCCUAUUCAGGCCAUAAAACUCAGCAAGCAGACAGCACCACCUGCCAAAUGAAAAAAAAAAAAAAAAACAAA